UGGGAGGGACGGUAGGAGGGCCAGAGGGGGCGGUGCCCUGUGGCGGAGUUGAGUUGUGUUGUGUUGUGUUGUGUUGUGAUGGUCGGCGAGAAAGUUUUCCGGCGAAUCCUCCGGCUCGUUUUGCGUCGCGGAGCAAGGAGCGAAAACCCUUCAGAAGAAUAGCGGGGAUCGGAAGUCAAUGGGAUAGUCGGCGGCGCGCGAGAGCCGAGGUACUUCCAGAAGAUUCUGCGGGAGCCCCUGGGUUUGCGGAUCUUUGCACCAUAUGUAGUUGGGAGUGAAGACCUGUUGGGCUAUAGACGCCCUUGAAAAACUGUUACAGUGUUUGUACAAAAGUGUUUGCGGAUAUUUGCACAGAAACCCUUCUCAUGCAGGUUAAUGACGGGUCAAGGCACCAGGAAGCAAAUCCCAAGACGUUCAAGGAGAUGGAGAAGAUGACAGAGGAACUGCACAUACAGACCAAGGAACAAAAUGCGAACACGGAGAUUCAGACUGAACGUGAAGAUUUUGCAUCAGAAGAGCAGCGUGACAUAUCAGAAUCUCCCAGAGAAGAGAGCAAGCA